UAGGGAAUAUUGGGCAAUGGGCGAAAGCCUGACCCAGCCAUGCCGCGUGGAGGAAGAAAGCCCACUGGGUCGUAAACUCCUUUUCUCUGGGAAUAAAAGCUGUGUAACUCACGGCCUUGAAGGUACCAGAGGAAUAAGCACCGGCAAACUACGUGCCAGCAGCCGCGGUAAUACGUAGGGUGCAAGCGUUGUCCGGAUUUACUGGGUUUAAAGGGUGCGCAGGCGGGCUAUUAAGUCUGUGAUGAAAUGUCAGGGCUCAACCUUGGCGCUGUUGCGGAAACUAAUAGUCUUGAGAGCUGUUAAGGUAGCUGGAAUGAGUGGUGUAGCGGUGAAAUGCGUAGAGAUCACUCAGAACACCAAUUGCGAAGGCAGGUUACUAGGCAGCGUCUGACGCUCAGGC
rnacentral:rRNA from 1 species